GGAUGUGAGGGCAAUCUGCCUGCAACAUCUGUGACCCCAUUGAUCGCCACAGUUGAUUUGGCUGAUCUAGCUGGCUAGGCGGGUGUCCCCUUCCUCCCUCACCACUCCAUGUGUGUCCUUCCUGAAGCUGCACGCUUGGUUGAAAAGGAUGACCAUCCCCUUUGGUCAAGGGUACACGACUAGCUUCAUUCCCCUGCUAGAACCUCCAAACAAGCUCUCAUCAGAAAUCAUGUUAUUUAGUUACCUACCCAUGAAAUGGAAAAUAUCAUUGCACUAUUUAAAGUAGUUAGCAUUACCUC
rnacentral:snRNA from 1 species